rnacentral:rRNA from 1 species
GGGGCAACCUGGCGACGAGUGGCGAACGGGUGAGUAAUGCAUCGGAACAUGCCCAGUAGUGGGGGAUAGCCCGGCGAAAGCCGGAUUAAUACCGCAUACGACCUAAGGGUGAAAGCGGGGGAUCGCAAGACCUCGCGCUAUUGGAGUGGCCGAUGUCAGAUUAGGUAGUUGGUGGGGUAAAGGCCUACCAAGCCGACGAUCUGUAGCUGGUCUGAGAGGACGACCAGCCACACUGGGACUGAGACACGGCCCAGACUCCUACGGGAGGCAGCAGUGGGGAAUUUUGGACAAUGGGCGCAAGCCUGAUCCAGCCAUGCCGCGUGCGGGAAGAAGGCCUUCGGGUUGUAAACCGCUUUUGUUCGGGAAGAAAUCCCUUGGGUUAAUACCUCGGGGGGAUGACGGUACCGGAAGAAUAAGCACCGGCUAACUACGUGCCAGCAGCCGCGGUAAUACGUAGGGUGCAAGCGUUA